CCGCCGCCACCUCCGUAUCCACCGCCACCACCUCCGUAGCCACCGCCGCCGCUGCGGUAUCCACCGCCACCACCACCACGGCCGCCUCCGCCACCGCUUCCACGUGACUGAGCCUCGUUCACAGUGAUGCUGCGACCAUCGAGCUCCUGUCCGUUCAUUCCCUCAAUGGCGUCUUUCAUGGAUUUCUCAUCCUUGAAAGUGACGAAUCCGAAUCCCCUCGAUCUUCCAGUCUCACGAUCGUUAAUGAUCUGGAAACAUAAAAACGAAACAGAUCAGCCAAAUAAUCCAACACAGACGGACACACAAAUCGAGCCAAAAAAUUUCAAAAAGAAAACGAUCGAUCUCCGGGCUCAUAAAAGCAGGAAGAUGAACGUACCGAUUGGGAAAAACAAGUAACAGAGUAACAAAGAACGAGAGAGAGAGCAUGCAUAGUAACAGUAAUUCGAAUCAAGUAACAGAGAAACACAGAUCGGAACAGAUCCGUCGAGGAUCAGAAUCAUCGGAAUCCCGGAGAGUCCGAUC
rnacentral:lncRNA from 1 species